AUUGAGCGCUGGCGGCAGGCCUAACACAUGCAAGUCGAGCGGAUGAGAAGAGCUUGCUCUUCGAUUCAGCGGCGGACGGGUGAGUAAUGCCUAGGAAUCUGCCUGGUAGUGGGGGACAACGUUUCGAAAGGAACGCUAAUACCGCAUACGUCCUACGGGAGAAAGCAGGGGACCUUCGGGCCUUGCGCCAUCAGAUGAGCCUAGGUCGGAUUAGCUAGUUGGUGAGGUAAUGGCUCACCAAGGCGACGAUCCGUAACUGGUCUGAGAGGAUGAUCAGUCACACUGGAACUGAGACACGGUCCAGACUCCUACGGGAGGCAGCAGUGGGGAAUAUUGGACAAUGGGCGAAAGCCUGAUCCAGCCAUGCCGCGUGUGUGAAGAAGGUCUUCGGAUUGUAAAGCACUUUAAGUUGGGAGGAAGGGCAGUAAGUUAAUACCUUGCUGUUUUGACGUUACCGACAGAAUAAGCACCGGCUAACUCUGUGCCAGCCGCCGCAGUAAAAC
rnacentral:rRNA from 1 species